UACGUAGGGUGCAAGCGUUAAUCGGAAUUACUGGGCGUAAAGUGUGCGCAGGCGGCAGAGCAAGUCGAGUGUGAAAGCCCCGGGCUUAACUUGGGAAUUGCGCUCGAAACUACUUUGCUGGAGUGUGGCAGAGGAAGGUGGAAUUCCACGUGUAGCGGUGAAAUGCGUAGAGAUGUGGAGGAACACCAAUGGCGAAGGCAGCCUUCUGGGCCGACACUGACACUGAGAGACGAAAGCUAGGGGAGCAAAUGGG
rnacentral:rRNA from 1 species